UAAGAUUUUUAUUCUGCUUGGUACCUUGGC
rnacentral:piRNA from 1 species